rnacentral:rRNA from 1 species
AUUGAACGCUGACGGCAGGCCUAACACAUGCAAGUCGAACGGUAACAGGAAGCAGCUUGCUGCUUCGCUGACGAGUGGCGGACGGGUGAGUAAUGUCUGGGAAACUGCCUGAUGGAGGGGGAUAACUACUGGAAACGGUAGCUAAUACCGCAUAACGUCGCAAGACCAAAGAGGGGGACCUUAGGGCCUCUUGCCAUCGGAUGUGCCCAGAUGGGAUUAGCUAGUAGGUGGGGUAACGGCUCACCUAGGCGACGAUCCCUAGCUGGUCUGAGAGGAUGACCAGCCACACUGGAACUGAGACACGGUCCAGACUCCUACGGGAGGCAGCAGUGGGGAAUAUUGCACAAUGGGCGCAAGCCUGAUGCAGCCAUGCCGCGUGUAUGAAGAAGGCCUUCGGGUUGUAAAGUACUUUCAGCGGGGAGGAAGGGAGUAAAGUUAAUACCUUUGCUCAUUGACGUUACCCGCAGAAGAAGCACCGGCUAACUCCGUG